GAAUGCAUAGAGAAUCCCAAAGUCUGUCACAACAACGCCAGUUGUAAGUUUUACAAUGGAUCGUACCAGUGUAGGUGUAUUGAUGGGUACACUGGAGAUGGCGAGAAUUGUACAGAUGUGGACGAGUGUAUGGGACACCGCUGUCUUAAGCAUGCCACUUGCAUCAAUACCAAAGGAAGCUACUUCUGUGUCUGCGCGAAAGGUUUUACUGGUGAUGGUGGAAAUAACUGUUCUGAUAUCAAUGAAUGUGCGCAUACUCCGGAUGUGUGUAAUCCUCAGGCCAAUUGUAGAAAUACUCCGGGCUCGUUCUCCUGCCUUUGCAAGACAGGAUUCACUGGAAACGGUGCAAAUU